CAUUAUUGGCCAUCUUCCUCAAUUUCCUAACAUUGAAGUUUCAGUUUUUAAUACUAUGAAGUCAACUUAUAGUUGUAUAUUUUGUGUAUUGAAGACAAAGAUGUUGCACAAGCCUUGUUGGCAAAAGUGUUGGCACCUUAUGUAGUGUUAGGUCUCAUAAAUUUGUGGAUGUAUUUGAUACAAAUUGGCUGAUUUGGAUCCAUCCAAAAGUUCUCAUGAUAAAGAACUCAUGCUUCAGCCCAUGCAAUAAAGAAAAUAAACUCUAAACCCUAAAUCCAUUGUUUGAUUAUUUAACUAUUCAUUCAUUUAUUGAAAAGAAUGUAAUGCUUUACAUGCUUUGCCCAUUCUAUUUAUACUGUUCAAAGCUAUCCGCAAUGUGACAUCCAUGCUUGGCUCCUUCUCAAAUUUGAUGUUCCUCAUUGUUUGUUCUCCUCAAUAACAUCCACAAACUCAUACAAUUUGCUUUUUUUUUUUGUUUGUCUCUCCUCACAAACAUCCACAAACUCAUUCAAGUUGCUUUCUUUUCUGUUUGACAUGGUUCUUUGACCAAAGGUCCCAACCAGAGCAAUAAUUGAGUGUGGCCAUUGAUUCACAGUGUAAACAGGCCUUAAAUAACACCACAUAAAUGACCCUUUCAAGAUUGAUUAAAAUUACACCCAACAGCUUGUUUUUAAAUGUAACCUUUGAUCAGAACCUUCCGUAAAAAGUUUCCAUCAAGUUUUUGAAACCCACCUUUUGUUCAAGACACUCACAUCUUUAGUAGAAAUGUUCUGGAAGCUGGUCUCAUAUUCCAUCUGAGAAGGCGUAAAACCACAGCAACUGUUUAAAAAUUUUCUGUUCCUUUUUAAAUCUUUCGAACUAUAUUUUCAUAAAUAAAAAUUAGCAGUGGCAGCAGCAUGGACAGUACAAGGAGCGAAAGUUCGAAAAGCAUCCACACAAAGUAUUAGUAAAAACUCACAUGCAAUGCACUGGGUUCUGACUUCUUUUUUUAGUUUAUUUUAUUUUUGAUUCUUUUCACGUCGGCUAUUUAUUAUAGUGGCGUCAUUACAUGAUUGCAUCAUUCAACACAUUCUGCGACUUUGCAGCAGAUAUGGCGUAGUUUUUGUGUCGACGCAGAUGAUUGCUUUAUUUUCACUUUGAGCUCACAAUGAUCGGUGAUUUUAGCUUCAAAUUCUACCUCUGAAGCUGAAGAUUGGUGGCGUUGCCAAGUCUCCAUGACCGCAGAGAUUCUUCCACAUUGGUUGCGGUGCUGAGCCACCGAAAUUUCCUUGAGUGGAGGCAUUUAACCCCAUCGUUUUGGCUUCAUCGAAUAGCAGCAAAUUCAUGUGUUGUGAAGGUUGUUAACCGAAUUUCAAGUUAGCAGAAGACUUAUCAAUGGUGGUUUUUCUGUUUUGCUUCGUGGUUGGGGACAGGUUGCGAUGGCCACUUCCAUGGCUACCAGUCACUGCCGCACGAAUCUUCCUCUUUCCAGUUCCGACUCUUUUUUCAAUGCCACGGAACAAAAAAGAAACUCCUCUCCCCCUAUUUGGUGUUUGUCUAAAACAGGUGACAUAGAAGACGUAAAUGUGGAGUUAGAUGCUCAUAAUUAAGAUUCCUGGGAGCUAAGAGUCUUGAGUUCAUCACUACUUCGCGACAACAGAUAAAUUAAUACGUCAGACAGCACCGAGAACAAAAAAAUGUGAGCCACGGAAGAAAUCUCCUUAUCACAUCAACAAAGAAAAAGUAAAAUUGAUUUUUUUGAGGAAGGUUAGAAGGCAUGUCUUUAGACAGAAUUUCAGAAAGAAGAAAUGGUUGCGCAUGCACCACAUCGGUUGAAUAUGAGUUGAUUACAGAGAAGAACCCCGACACUUGAAACUAUGAGAUUCAUCCUGUAGAGUGUAUCUAGUUCACAACAUUGAAUGUAAUAUUACAACCACAUUCUUAUCGAAUUGGUCCUCUGUACCUAUUAACAGCCGGGACUGAUGCCCAAUGGGCGCUUACAGUGUCCUAGCGGUGGUGGACGAAGAAAUUUAUAGCCACAAAAGCAAUCACAAUGUCCCAUUGCUGCCAACAACUGCGAUUCUCAAGCGUUGGUUUCCAGAGCGUGGGAGAACGCUUCCAAUCUCAGCUGGAUUGAAGAAAUCAGAUGUGUUUCCAAGAGUCUUAAGAUCUUAAACCUGUCGCAAUUUCCGGUUGUGCAAAACUGAGGGCAGUCAAGAAGAUGCGAAGCAUAUACAACACCACCCAUGGAAGAUGCAACAAGUGGGUUGGAACAGCCACAUGCGCAGUUUCAAACGCCACAGAAUAGACUCAAUUUGGAUGUUUUUUUACAUAAAAGUGGGUUCUGAGUUUCACCCCAUAUCGUAUAACCUGGAAUAGAGCGUGGGCCGCUCAAUAUGAAAGCGUCGCAACUUGCUGAGUCCCCUACACAUUCUGCAUAUCUUGCGUUGAAGGGUUGCAACUGGGUAAGGCUUCUCAACGUUUCACCUUAUCUUUGGUUGCAACUGAAUGUAUCAAAUUGCAGUAAGUUGAUGCGGAUUAAAGACACGGCGCUUACUAACCUAAAUCCACUUGGAAUUCGACAAUUGUUAGAUAUAGGAACAAUUGAUCGGCUGCGCUGCAAUUGCAGUCAUGUCAAUGAUUGAUUGAUUGAUUGAUUUGCUUUAUUUUGUUUUUAUUGACACAUGGAAGAGUAAACCCCCUUGUUCUUAGAUGUCACAUUGUCCAAGGCCUUGUUCUAAAUUCAAGAAUAGCAUAAGUAACAUAAACUUUAGAGAGUGGAACUUUUUCCUAUCUCACAAUACAAUUUGUAAUUAUUAUAUCUGGUUUUGUAUU